GGCCGUGUGGCGAAAUGGCAUCGCGUCUGACUACGAUAGGAACCCAUGAUCUAUUGGCUAUAAUUAUCGGCAUCAGGAGAUUGCAGGUUCGACCCCUGUCUCGGUCA